AAACUUAAAGGAAUUGACGGGGGCCCGCACAAGCAGCGGAGCAUGUGGUUUAAUUCGAAGCAACGCGAAGAACCUUACCUAGACUUGACAUCCCCUGAAUUACCUGUAAUUAGGGAAGCCCUUCGGGGCAGGGAGACAGGUGGUGCAUGGUUGUCGUCAGCUCGUGUCGUGAGAUGUUAGGUUAAGUCCUGCAACGAGCGCAACCCUUAUCAUUAGUUGCUACCAUUAAGUUGAGCACUCUAGUGAGACUGCCCGGGUUAACCGGGAGGAAGGUGGGGAUGACGUCAAAUCAUCAUGCCCCUUAUGUCUAGGGCUACACACGUGCUACAAUGGUGAGUACAGAAAGAUGCAAGACCGUGAGGUGGAGCAAAACUUUUAAACUCAUCUCAGUUCGGAUUGUAGGCUGAAACUCGCCUACAUGAAGCUGGAGUUGCUAGUAAUCGCGAAUCAGCAUGUCGCGGUGAAUACGUUCCCGGGCCUUGUACACACCGCCCGUCACACCAUGAGAGCUGGCAACACCCGAAGUCCGUGAGGUAACCGUAAGGAGCCAGCGGCCGAAGGUGGGGUUAGUAAUUGGGGUGAAGUCGUAACAAGGUAGCCGUAGGAGAACCUGCGGCUGGAUCACCUCCUUUCUG
rnacentral:rRNA from 1 species